rnacentral:rRNA from 1 species
UGGGGAAUAUUGGACAAUGGGGGAAACCCUGAUCCAGCGACGCCGCGUGAGUGAAGAAGUAUUUCGGUAUGUAAAGCUCUAUCAGCAGGGAAGAAAAUGACGGUACCUGACUAAGAAGCCCCGGCUAACUACGUGCCAGCAGCCGCGGUAAUACGUAGGGGGCAAGCGUUAUCCGGAUUUACUGGGUGUAAAGGGAGCGUAGACGGCACUGCAAGUCUGGAGUGAAAGCCCGGGGCUCAACCCCGGGACUGCUUUGGAAACUGUGGUGCUAGAGUGCAGGAGA